AACCAUCAGCUAUUAUUGUCAGGAUGAUGAUGAUGAUGCACAUGUGCAGAGAUGGGGAAGAGAAGAAAAAUUACUUAGGAGUGUUCAUUAUGUACCACAUACCUACAUGAUCUCUCCAUAUGAUCUCAGAUACUUAUUUGUAUUCCCUUUUAUUAUAAAGGUGAGGAACUUAAAAUUCAGGGUGGUUAUAUAUGGAAGGAAUAGAAUGAGUUAUUAGACCCAUUUCUAGGACUAAGGACAAGAUAAAUACUGAAAGGUGCCUGACCAGGAGAUAGCAAAACGCUGAGAAAGGAGAUGAGAAACAGACCUGUAGAGCCACACCACCCUUCGGGACCAAGGGACAGUGUUGUAAUUUUCAGGACUGAGUGGGUGCCCAACCCAAUCUGUAUCAGAAAACUGUGCUUUGGAAAUUCAGCUGUUUUUACACUAGUUGUAUUUUCUGUAAAUAUUUCUUGUUUUGUUCUCCUGUUGUACGUACUGAAAUUAUUUCUGAAUUGCCAGUCUGUCUCGUUUGUACUUUGAGAGAGCCAAAAGGAAAAAAGAAUUUUCGGGCAUCUUCUGCAGGAGCUACAUGUCAGACACCAGGUGUCCUGGGCUUCAAAUGCCAGAAGCCCAAGACAGAAAAGAAAUGCAAGGAAGAAAAUCCUCUUCCCCAGAGGCUUCUACAGUGUUCUCUGCUCUAACCUUAGAAGGCUUUGAACAGUGUUGCCUAGAGAAUGGCCUUUUACUUACUCAUCCGUCCAGCAUGACUCAUCCCCAAGACUGUUGAGUUGUGAGUGCAUGAACAUUAUUGACAACAAUACCAUUGUUAUGUAAAAUGUUGACAUUAGGAAAAACUGGAUAAAGAUGUUUAAAUCACCCAUGGUUUAUGGGUAAUUAAGCCAAUUAUCCUUCUGCUGUUUAUGUUGAAUUAUCUAGUCUUCCCCCACUGAUUUGAAAUGCCACCCUGAGGAGUACCUGGCUGGCUCAGGCAGUUGAGCAUGCGACUCUUGAUCUUGGGGGUUGUGAGUUCAAACCCCAUGUUGC